GAUAAACGCUGGCGGCGUGCAUAACACAUGCAAGUCGAACGAUGAAACUUAGAUGAUUUCUUCGGAAUGAACUUAAGUGGAUUAGUGGCGAACGGGUGAGUAACACGUGAGUAACCUGCCUUACACAAGGGGAUAGCCUCUGGAAACGGAGAAUAAUACCCUAUAAAGUCUAAUCAGCUCCUGCUGGAAAGACCAAAGAUUUAUCGGUGUAAGAUGGACUUGCGUCUGAUUAGCUAGUUGGUGAGAUAAAAGCUCACCAAGGCGACGAUCAGUAGCCGGCUUGAGAGAGUGUACGGCCACAUUGGGACUGAGACACGGCCCAAACUCCUACGGGAGGCAGCAGUGGGGAAUUUUGCACAAUGGGGGAAACCCUGAUGCAGCGACGCCGCGUGAUUUAGAAGGCCUUCGGGUUGUAAAAAUCUUUUUUACGGGAUGAAAAUGACAGUACCGUAAGAAUAAGGUCCGGCUAAAUACGUGCCAGCAGCCGCGGUAAUACGUAUGGACCGAGCGUUGUCCGGAAUCAUUGGGCGUAAAGGGUACGUAGGCGGCCUAGUAAGUUAGAAGUGAAAGAAUAUAGCUCAACUAUAUAAAGCUUUUAGAACUGUUAGGCUUGAGAGAUGAAAGGGAAAGUGGAAUUCCUAGUGUAGCGGUGAAAUGCGCAGAUAUUAGGAAGAAUACCGGUGGGCGAAGGCGACUUUCUGGUCAUCAUCUGACGCUGAGGUACGAAAGCGUGGGUAGCAAACAGGAUUAGAUACCCUGGUAGUCCACGCUGUAAACGAUGAGUGUUAGGUUCUUGGAAUAAUCUGGGAGCCGCAGCUAACGCAUUAAACACUCCGCCUGGGGAGUACGCACGCAAGUGUGAAACUCAAAGGAAUUGACGGGGACCCGCACAAGCAGCGGAGCAUGUGGUUUAAUUCGACGCAACGCGAAGAACCUUACCAAGUCUUGACAUAAUACGGAGGGAAUUAGAGAUAAUUUCUUACCACUUCGGUGGGCUGUAUUACAGGUGGUGCAUGGUUGUCGUCAGCUCGUGUCGUGAGAUGUUGGGUUAAGCCCCAUAACGAGCGCAACCCCUAUCGUUAGUUACCAUCAUUAAGUUGGGGACUCUAGCGAUACUGCCGGUGAUAAACCGGAGGAAGGUGGGGACGACGUCAAAUCAUCAUGCCCUUUAUGACUUGGGCUACACACGUGCUACAAUGGCAGAUACAGAGGGCAGCGAAAGAGUGAUCUGAAGCGAAACUCACAAAAUCUGUCCCAGUUCGGAUUGCACUCUGCAACUCGAGUGCAUGAAGUUGGAGUUGCUAGUAAUCGCGAAUCAGAAUGUCGCGGUGAAUGCGUUCCCGGGUCU
rnacentral:rRNA from 1 species